UCAGUAGCCGGCCUGAGAGGGUGAACGGCCACAUUGGGACUGAGACACGGCCCAGACUCCUACGGGAGGCAGCAGUGGGGAAUAUUGCACAAUGGGGGAAACCCUGAUGCAGCGACGCCGCGUGAAGGAAGAAGUAUCUCGGUAUGUAAACUUCUAUCAGCAGGGAAGAAAAUGACGGUACCUGACUAAGAAGCCCCGGCUAACUACGUGCCAGCAGCCGCGGUAAUACGUAGGGGGCAAGCGUUAUCCGGAUUUACUGGGUGUAAAGGGAGCGUAGACGGAAGAGCAAGUCUGAUGUGAAAGGCUGGGGCUUAACCCCAGGACUGCAUUGGAAACUGUUUUUCUUGAGUGCCGGAGAGGUAAGCGGAAUUCCUAGUGUAGCGGUGAAAUGCGUAGAUAUUAGG
rnacentral:rRNA from 1 species